rnacentral:lncRNA from 1 species
AUCCAGGACCAGAAAUGGACCGUGGUAAGGGAAAAGCACCAUGAGGACUGCGGCCAUGGGAAGAUGUGUGGUGAUUGGGUUGAUUCUGAAAUUUGUGUAAUUAUUGUAGCCUAUUGUGCAACUUGUGAACUUAUGCGAUUCUAGUGUGUGAUCUACUUAUUAGGAUGAUGAAUGAUGUAUGAACCUUGGUUAUUAUCUAUG